rnacentral:rRNA from 1 species
AUGGCAGCACUCUCGCUCCCCGAUGACAUCCUCCUCGAGAUCCUCGUCCGCGUCAAGGACCCGGCUGCUCUCUUCCGCUGCGCCAUGGCGUGCAACCAUUGGAGCCGUCUCGUCGUCGAUCCCUCCUUCCUCCGGCGCCGCUGGCCAGAGGACGCGUCCUCCUCCUUCAUCGGCUUCUUCACAGGGGAACGCCGCCGACCCUACCUAAGACAGGACCCGCCGCCGGAGCCCUUGUUCGUCUCUGUGCAGCGCUCGCCUAUGGGCCCUUGCUGCUGCACCCUCGCCUCCAUCGUGUCCACUACCCGCGCCGACCUCUUUAAAUAUGCGGUGCCGAUCGUCUCGCGCCACAAUCUCCUCUUGCUGCGCAGCACCAGCGGGACUGUCACGCCAAAUCAGACCAUCCUGCAGCUGGCGGUAUGCGACAUGGUCGUUGGUACGUGCGACAGGCUCCCUCCUCUCGAGUUUAGCUCCGAUUUCAGCGAUUACAACUCGAACGGCUACGCCAUUCUAACCGCUGCGGAUUGUCAUGAGCUGUCACCGUGGGGCAACACUUGGCCUUUCUUCAAAGUGGUAAUCAUCGGCUCCAGCUACAGUUUCCUCAAGUAUGACCUCCAUGUGUUCUCGUCCGACAAAGCAAGCUGGAGCGUGAGCACCAAUUGCUUCGGUGCUAACUGCUAA